rnacentral:rRNA from 1 species
UACGUAGGGGGCAAGCGUUGUCCGGAUUUAUUGGGCGUAAAGAGCGUGUAGGCGGCCAAGCAGGUCAGCUGUGAAAUCCCGGGGCUUAACCCCGGGCGUGCAGUGGAUACGGGCUGGCUGGAGGCAGGCAGGGGAGAACGGAAUUCCCGGUGUAGCGGUGAAAUGCGCAGAUAUCGGGAGGAACACCGGUGGCGAAGGCGGUUCUCUAGUACGGUACUGACGCUGAGACGCGAAAGCGUGGGGAGCGAACAGG